CUCCUGCGAGAGAAGGUGGACCAAGCAGAGAGGCUCUGGGGUUCUGGAGGAGCGCCCUCCCCCAGCCUCUUCUUCCUUCAGCGCCCCGAAGGCCGAGGUCCGAACAUACACCCCCCUCCCUCCUCUCCAAGAUCGCAGGAACUCUAGACUUCAGGUCCUGCAACCUUGGAAAGCCCCCUCCUUUCCCAAGGCCCGCCUCCUUAGAAGAAGGCUCCAGCCGGCAUCUCUGCGAGCCGCCUCCCUGGGCGAGGCCCCGCCCCCUCCGGUCCCUGUGUGGGUGUAGACCCCCACGCGCACCUGCAGCUCGUAGAGGAUGAUGCGAUGGCGCAGCCGCACGUGGACAUCCCCACGGAGCCCGAAGUCCCAGGCGCUGAACACGCGGUGGCUGUAGCUGGUCAGGGCCCCGGACUCAGCCAACAACGUCUGUUUCAGUCCUGACACGGAGCUAAGGGAGGGAAGGGCCAGGAGACAGGAUGUGGAAGGUCAGCCCCCUCCUAUGGGACAAACGGAAGACGAACCCUAGGGCCUCGGGCAUCUGGCGAGCUGCUACCUAGCAGAGAAGGAGUCAGAGACCAAGAGAGAUUCAGAGGCAGACUCGGGAACACAGACACCGGAGAGACCGAGAAAGACAGAAACCCAGUAGAGAGGGACAGAGCUCCAGAGAGAAGGGGACAGGAACCAGAGUGAGACAGAAAAAGACCCUGGGGAGAGACAAAUUUAGAGGGGACAAUGAGACCCCAAAGGGGACAGAUUCAGAGGAAGGGGGACAAACAGUGAAACAAGGAAGAGGAAAUCUAGAGAAAGGAGUCAGAGACUCAGAAGGACAGAUGUCCAGAGAAGGGGGUUGGGGGAGAAAGACCCAGAGAAAGGAGGACAGAGACUCGGAGAAGUGGGGCAAAGACCCAGAGGGGGGACAGACAUGCAGAGAAAAGCGGACCAGGGGGCUCCGUCUCCACAUUCACCGGCCUGGCGUGAGCCCCCAGCUCCCCUUCCGUGGACACCUAUGGAAGGACUGACACCUGGCCUCUGCCUCCACCCGUGCCCUUUUGAAUCCAUUCUGUUGUUGUGCCCGUGGAACCCUCUUUUUAUGCAGAUGAGACAUUACUGCCCUUUAAAACCUAUUCCACAGCCUCUCCUUGUUCUGACGUUUAGGCCCCUUCAUCGCACAGCCAGCCAGCGCGCACCUGACCCAGCCCCCACCUACUUGUUGAAGCCCAAAUCCUGUCCCUCCCCCUCCACUCCCCCCCACCCCUGCCUUUCAAGUCUCAGAACACUCCCAACCUCUUCUCACCACAGGGCCUUUGCCCUUGCAGUUUCCAGUGCCCGGAAUGUCCAGGUCUUAGCCGCUCACCUGGCCCGUUCCUCCUCAUCUUUCUGGGCUCUCUGUACGGGUCGUCUCCUCAGAUAGUCCUUAACUGACCGCUCCAUUUAAUGAGGGUCCCCGCCCAUUCUCUAUCACGGGGUGGUGGCGAACUACGGGGCCAGUUUUUGUAAAUAAAGCUUUAUUGGAACACGG